GGACUACUGGGGUAUCUAAUCCUGUUUGCUACCCACGCUUUCGUGUCUCAGCGUCAGUAAUGGUCCAGAAAGCCGUCUACACCGCAGGUGUUCCUCCUGAUAUCUACGCAUUUCACCGCUACACCAGGAAUUCCGCUUUCCUCUCCCACACUCGAGCAUUCCAGUUUUCGGCGCACCCUCCCAGUUGAGCCGGGAGAUUUCACACCGAACUUAGAACACCGCCUACACACUCUUUACGCCCAGUAACUCCGAACAACGCUUGCUGCCUACGUAUUACCGCGGCGGCUGGCAC
rnacentral:rRNA from 1 species